ensembl:lncRNA
UGCUUUUUGUGUGUUUCUAGGCUUUGAGGGACUUUCCACAGGUGUGUGUGUGUGUGUGUGUGUGUGUGUGUGUGUGUGUGUGUGUGUGUGUGUGUAUUUAUGCACUUAUUGUGUAAUGGUGUCCACCUCUCUGUAUGUGUGUGAGUGUGUGUUCCCAUGAACAGGUCGGUCCUCUCCUCUCCUGUCCUGUCCUCUCCUCCACCCCCUUCUUUCCAUGUCUGCGCUUCCUCGCGGAGCUAGGUGCGUAUCAUUGGAUCAGUAGCUGUUGGCUGCCACACUGUCCAAUCGCAUCUAGGAAGAGAAAAUAGAGAGAAAGAGGGGGAGAGAGAGAGAGGGGGGGGGAGCGAGGGGGAGAUGGGGGAGGAGAAAGAAAGGGAGAGAGGGAGAGAAGGAGAUUGAUCACUUGAACGUCCUGGGCCCUGUAUUCCUCGGAGAAACAUUAAAAUUUCUACUAUAGCUCCAAACAAAUCUUUUUUUCCUUCUUCUUGUUCUUCCCACCUUUCUCAGGCGGAAGGCUUGUAGGUUGUUUUGUUUUUUUUCUUCUUGUUUCUUUUUUGGGUUAUUCCCACCCCGGAGACGUGCCACCACCACCACCAUCACCAGCAGCAGUAGCAGCAGCAGCAGAGGAAUAUCUCCCAAUAUCCCAUCCCGGGCACGUCGGAUAAGCUGCAGCAGCGAAAACACGCGGCAAAUAUUGCGGUGGAAGGGAAAGGAGAGCAGGUCCAUGGGAUUUCACACCUCUCACCCAGCCUGGGUACGGUAUAUCCUACAUUUUUGUCAUUUGAGGAUUUUUUCCCCUUCUACUGCAGCGGGGAUGCAGGUUGAGGCUUUGCAUUUGAGUGUGUGUGUGAGUGUGUGUGUGAGUGAGUGAGCGUGUUUUGCCGUAGUCAGCUUCAGAGCCGAUAGAGAUUUAGACAGGGAAUUCUACCUCACAGGCAAGCAUUUUUCCACACUUAUUUGUUUUUUAUUCUUCUUCAUCGCACACGCUUUCCCUCUCGUUCGUUAUAAUAAGAAAGCAGCCUAGCUUUUAUCUGUUCUUUCUAUAUGAAAAUACACAAGGGGAGGGUGGCAGGCGGGUUUGCCUUGAUAAAUGGAGCGUUAUUCAUCAGCGUGUGUGUGAUCACCACUGGAAUGUUAACUAG